rnacentral:lncRNA from 1 species
UAAUUUUGACAAUAAAACAUUGUUUAACUAAUCUAAACUUAAAACAUCAACUCUAAACCCUAAAUCAUCAACUCUAAACCCUAAACCAUGAAACUUCAACUCUAAACCCUAAACCCCAAAACAUCAACUCUAAACCCUAAAUUCUAAAUCAUAAACCUUUAAAUCUAAACCCUAAAACAUUUAACUCUAAACUCUAAAUCUGAACUUAAAACAUCAACUUUAAACCCUAGAUCAUCAACUCUAAACCCUAAACCCCGAAACAUCAACUCUAAACCCUAAACCCUAAACUUUCAAAUCUAAACCCUAAAACACUAAC